rnacentral:lncRNA from 1 species
UAGGCAAGUAUCAUUAGAUGUCAUUGUCUUGUAAGUGACUUGACCGUGUAAAUUGUAAGGUUUUUUUUAAGAUGUCUGUUUGUAAAGUCGAAUACAUUCUUUUAUUAUCUCUUGUGAUUCUUUCUUCUUUUCACAUCUAUAAAGCAGGAGGCAGCAGCAUUAGCGGCAGCCGAAGUUGCUUUCCUUCUGCAAGCAGGGCAACAUAGGGGCUUGCAUGUUGCAGUUGCACCUGGACCUGCGCCACCAGUAGAGCCUUCGACAACACCAGGACGGGCAACAACUCCUCAGGCGGCAAUACAACCAGGACAGGUGGCAACUCCUCAUCUAGAACCAGUAUAAACAGCUUUUCUCUGUUUCCUCUCCUAGCAUUUUGAAAAAAGUUGAUUGUACUGAUGGUAACUUUCAUGGCGGGGAAAGUUUUUUUUUUUUUUUUUUUCCAUUUCAUUUUUAAUUAUUUGCCAGCUGUAUCUUUGCAUUGAGAGACGCAGAAGCUCCAAAUUUCCUCUCAUUCAGUAUUCCGUUAUGUUCGUACAUGUCAAAACAUAGCAGCCCCUAGAUGGCAUUGGAGUCUUCGCCUCCUGGGGUCAGUUACAACUUUAUCAGAUCUUUUCUUCAAGUGUGUUGAUACCAUAUCUUCACAUCAUAUUAAUCGGCUAA